rnacentral:tRNA from 2 species
GGUCAGGUAGCUCAGUUGGUAGAGCAGCGCAUUGAAAAUGCGCGGGUCGCCGGUUCAAGUCCGGCCCUGACCACCA